CUCUCUCCCGUCUCUGCUCUCUACUACCUGUCUCUCCUGUCUGUUAUCUCUCUCUCUCCAAAUGGGAUUUUGCUGAAGUUCAUGUACGUCGUAGCCACUUUUGAUUGACGUCCCCGCAGUCCAUUUGUAGCCAACUGUUCUGGCCAACAGGCAAUCAAGUUACCGGGGCGGAAUUUCCGUUAGUAUCCUAAAAAAAAAGACGUCAAUGGGACCCAUUUGAAUGAUUGAACGCAACCCCGCUGUGUACGGAAAGUUAGUCAACAGCAUCCUAUGGAAAAUACAGAUAUUCAACAAUGUAUCCAAGAGCGGGUUGUCAAGGUGGACAGCGAGGUCACGGGGUCGCCUGCGACAUCGACAGCCCUGAUAGAGAGCUAUGCUGAGCCUGAUGUCUAUGGGUAAGAAUCUGUAAGGUAAGACUCUUGUGUUGUGUGAAUCUGGUAG